rnacentral:rRNA from 1 species
AGAGCGAACGCUGGCGGCAGGCCUAACACAUGCAAGUCGAGCGCCCGUAGCAAUACGGGAGCGGCAGACGGGAUAGUAACACGUGGGGACGCGCCCUUCGGUUCGGAAUAACUCAGGGAAACUUGAGCUAAUACCGAAUACGCCCUUACGGGGAAAGAUUUAUUGCCGAAGGAACGGCCCGCGUCCGAUUAGCUAGUUGGUGAGGUAAUGGCUCACCAAGGCUACGAUCGGUAGCUGGUCUGAGAGGAUGACCAGCAUCACUGGGACUGAGACACGGCCCAGACUCCUACGGGAGGCAGCAGUGGGGAAUAUUGGACAAUGGGCGCAAGCCUGAUCCAGCCAUGCCGCGUGGAUGAUGAAGGCCUUAGGGUUGUAAAGUCCUUUUAACGGGGGCGAUGAUGACGGUACCCGUAGAAUAAGCACCGGCUAACUUCGUGCCAGCAGCCGC